GCGGGCCUAUCUGUCUCUUACAAUAAAUCAAUUAAACUGAUCUUCUAGUAAAAAAGCUAGAAUCCACACACAAGACCAGAAGACCCUGUGAAGCUUAAACUAAACUAUUAAACCCCAUAAUAUCUACUUUAGGUUGGGGCGACCUUGGAAAAAAAAAGAACUUCCAAACACAUGACCACACUCAUUCAUCAGGCCCACAAGCCUUAUAAAAGACCCAGUACGACUGAUAAUUGAACCAAGUUACUCCAGGGAUAACAGCGCUAUCUUCUUCAAGAGUCCAUAUCAAAAAGAAGGUUUACGACCUCGAUGUUGGAUCAGGACAUCCUAACGGUGCAGUCGCUGUUAAGGGUUCGUUUGUUCAACGAUUAAUAGU
rnacentral:rRNA from 1 species